rnacentral:rRNA from 1 species
GACGGAGGGCGCAAGCGUUGUUCGGAAUUACUGGGCGUAAAGCGCGGGCAGGCGGUCUGUUAAGUCGUUUGUGAAAAUCCGGGGCUCAACCCCGGAAAUGCGUACGAUACUGGCAGGCUGGAGACUGGUAGAGGCUAGCGGAAUUCCUGGUGUAGCGGUGGAAUGCGUAGAUAUCAGGAGGAACACCGGUGGCGAAGGCGGUUCUCUGGGCAUUACCUGACGCUGAGGAGCGAAAGUGUGGGGAGCGAACAGG